CAGCAGCCGCGGUAAUACGGAGGGAGCUAGCGUUGUUCGGAAUUACUGGGCGUAAAGCGCGCGUAGGCGGUUACUCAAGUCAGAGGUGAAAGCCCGGGGCUCAACCCCGGAACUGCCUUUGAAACUAGGUGACUAGAAUCUUGGAGAGGUCAGUGGAAUUCCGAGUGUAGAGGCGAAAUUCGUAGAUAUUCGGAAGAACACCAGUGGCGAAGGCGACUGACUGGACAAGUAUUGACGCUGAGGUGCGAAAGCGUGGGGAGCAAACAGGAUUAGAUACCCCAGUAGUCCCUGUCUCUUAUAC
rnacentral:rRNA from 1 species